UCCAUCAAAGAAGCUGCAAAACGAUGCUUACUCAUACUGUUUCAAAUUUUUGCAACUCUGUAGUGUUUCACUUUUAAAGGAACAUCUUUGAUUCCAAAGGAGAAAAUAAGAUAAGCAAAGAAGUCUUUCUCUCCAACUUCUCAAAGGCUUAUGGCUUCAUAAAAACAAGUGAAUCUUUCAGCAUUCCACAGCUGAUUUAAAGCAUCAAAUGCCUGUGAAACAGCAAAGAUGGGUGAUAACAUCUAGAGGAUACUGCUGAAGUAAGGCUGGUUCAUCUGUGCUGAUGAUGGAGAUGAAUGGUGCCUGUACCAAUACAUAAGUUAAUGCUGACUAGAAGGUGGCAGUGCAGCAGUGGAUAUGCGUUGGAGAGCUGAAGGACAGCAAAACACAACUGAUAACAGCUUGGCUUUUGCAUUGGUGUUACCCACUAUUGGAUUUAGAGGAUUGUGUUAUCAUUCAGGAGUUGCCUUUGAAAGUAGCACUACUAAUCUCUUGGAGAGAAAUUCUCAGGUAGAAGUCAGUUGCUGUCUGCCAUAGGUAAUACCGUCCAAGAGCCAAGAGUGAGCUUUGUUUGAGUCAGUAGACAUGGCAUCACUGGAUCUGCAGCAGAAGAAUCAUUGCCCUUUACAUGAGGGGUUUCCUUUUCUGUGGGGAAAAAAGAAGAGCAAGUUAUAUAAAUGUGAGAUUUAGUCCUCUAAAAUACAGAGAACUCAAUUGUUUCAAAUUCUUCUUUGCCAAGAAACCAUGAAAAAUUUUACUGUGUUGUUAUAUUAACAGUGUUAUAAUUGCCCAGGGUGCCUGGGUGAGAGGAAGGAAGUGUGGAUGUACUGAGAUGAUAUUCAUAAUAGAUCCCCAGAACAAUUAGUGGUGGUGUAUGUACUAGCUCCAGACAGCACUGCAUCUCUUAGUGCAAGAUAUUUCCUUCAAAACUUUGCCUUGGUUUUGAUGCAUUUUUAUCUUGCAUGUGCCAAUGUGUGUGAGAGGAAUCUUCAGGCACUGGUAUUUCUUGUAGAAAAUGUAACUUCAGAUUGAAGUACCUAAAGCAGAUUUAUACUGAUUUCCAUGGUAGGGAUAAACUGACCUUGUUUAAAGAAUGCUCAGUUUGUAAUCAGAAGCUAAAGAAAACAAAACUUACGUACCCUGGCUAGGGAUUUAAAACUACCUUUUCAUUUUGGGCUAAGAAUAUCACUUCAACUUCAAUUUCGGACUGCAGAUGGUAGGAGUAAGCCUGCUUCUAUGUAGCAGAUGGGUAGAACUGCAG